UAAAACCAGCAAGCAUACAUCCUGUUUCUUGUUGUAGAGUUUUGCCCCAGACUAUCAAUCAACUUUUCACCACUUCCUGCAACAGCAGGUCUGCUAUAAAUCCUGCAGUAACUGACUGGCUUUCAUUUCCUCUGCCAAACCCUGCUAACCUGCAAGGCACGACACGCUGACACCGGAGCAAGCAGCUGAUAAUGUAAUACAUGACUCCUGCGAGGCACGAGUUAAAGUGCUUGUUCUCUCAGCUGAAUGAUUUUAAAGAUCUUUAUAUUCUAUUUCCCAGGGGGGAUAAUUACUCAGUAUAACAGAGACUCUUCAAUUUUUUUUUUCCCCCCCUGCUCCUAAAGGAAUUGGAUUUAAAACUGGGGGAAGGGAAAUUUAAUGCAGAAGCUUACACAGUUUUAGGCACAGCGCAACAUUUAAAGGCUGAACUUGGAUGAAAUACAGCAACCUGCCUUCGCCCAACCCACAGAGUGGAAAACCAAGAAUUCCAGACGAUUUGAGAAGUUGCCAACUUUGUAACAGAGGAAACAUCUUCCUUACUCCUUAAGUAAAAAAGAAGGCAGACAGAAACCCCAAGCAAUGCACAGCAAGGUUCAUACGGCCUUGCAGGUAA